UCCGAGUUGUCCCCGGCAGUCUCUUAUGAGUCCCCGGCAUAACCCGCUGGUAACAUAAGACAAGGGUUGCGCUCGUUGCGGGACUUAACCCAACAUCUCACGACACGAGCUGACGACAGCCAUGCACCACCUGUGAUCCUGCCCCGAAGGGAAACCCUGUUUCCAGGGUGGUCAGGAACAUGUCAAGCCCAGGUAAGGUUCUUCGCGUUGCAUCGAAUUGAGCCACAUGCUCCGCCGCUUGUGCGGGCCCCCGUCAAUCCCUUUGAGUUUUAGCCUUGCGGCCGUACUCCCCAGGCGGGGCACUUAAUGCGUUAGCUACGGCACGGAACCCGUUGAUAGAGCCCCACACCUAGUGCCCAACGUUUACGGCGUGGACUAC
rnacentral:misc_RNA from 1 species